rnacentral:rRNA from 1 species
CCCCAGACUCCUACGGGAGGCAGCAGUGGGGGAUAUUGCACAAUGGGGGGAACCCUGAUGCAGCGACGCCGCGUGGGUGAAGGAGUGCUUCGGCAUGUAAAGCCCUAUCGGCAGGGAAGAAGCAAGACGGUACCUGACUAAGAAGCCCCGGCUAACUACGUGCCAGCAGCCGCGGUAAUACGUAGGGGGCAAGCGUUAUCCGGAUUUACUGGGUGUAAGGGGAGCGUAGACGGCAGUGCAAGUCCGGAGUGAAAGCCCGGGGCUCAACCCUGGGACUGCUCUGGAAACUGUAAAGCUGGAGUGCGGGAGGGGCAGGCGGAAUUCCUGGUGUAGCGGUGAAAUGCGUAGAUAUCAGGAGGAACACCGGCGGCGAAGGCGGCCUGCUGGACCGUAACUGACGUUGAGGCUCGAAAGCGUGGGGAGCAAACAGGAUUAGAUACCCGCGUA